GUACUGCUGAGGGGUCCCAUAAUUGGACGAAACGGCCGUCCAGUAC
rnacentral:hammerhead_ribozyme from 1 species